CCCUUAGAUGUUCUGGGCCGCACGCGCGCUACACUGAUGCAUGCAACGAGUUCUAUCCUUGGCCGGAAGGCCUGGGUAAUCUGUGAACGUGCAUCGUGAUAGGGAUAGAUUAUUGCAAUUAUUAAUCUUGAACGAGGAAUUCCUAGUAAACGCAAGUCAUCAGCUUGCAUUGAUUACGUCCCUGCCCUUUGUACACACCGCCCGUCGCACCUACCGAUCGAAGGUAAUGAUGAGCCCUCAGGAUUGUGGCCUCGUCGCGUCAGCGUCUUGGCUGCGAGAAUCUGUGCAAAUCCCUACCUUUAGAGGAAGGUGAANUCGUANCA
rnacentral:rRNA from 1 species